GACGAACGCUGGCGGCGUGCUUAACACAUGCAAGUCGAACGGAAAGGCCCCUUUGGGGGUACUCGAGUGGCGAACGGGUGCGUAACACGUGAGUAACCUGCCCUUGACUUCGGGAUAACUUCAGGAAACUGGGGCUAAUACCGGAUAGGAAUCCUUGCUGCAUGGUGGGGGUUGGAAAGCUUCGGCGGUUUUGGAUGGAUUGGCGGCUUAUCGGCUUGUUGGUGGGGUAGUGGCUUACCAAGGCUUGGACGGGUAGCCGGCCUGAGAGGGCGACCGGCCACAUUGGGACUGAGAGACGGCCCAGACUCCGACGGGAGGCAGCAGGGGGGAAUAUUGCAGAAUGGGCGGAAGCCGGAUGCAGCAACGCCGCGUGCGGGAUGACGGCCUUCGGGUUGUAAACCGCUUUCAGCAGGGGCGAAGCUUGUGGUGACGGUACCUGCAGAAGAAGCACCGGCUAACUACGUG
rnacentral:rRNA from 1 species